rnacentral:rRNA from 1 species
UGGGGAAUUUUGGACAAUGGGCGAAAGCCUGAUCCAGCAAUGCCGCGUGUGUGAAGAAGGCCUUCGGGUUGUAAAGCACUUUUGUCCGGAAAGAAAUCCUUGGCUCUAAUACAGUCGGGGGAUGACGGUACCGGAAGAAUAAGCACCGGCUAACUACGUGCCAGCAGCCGCGGUAAUACGUAGGGUGCAAGCGUUAAUCGGAAUUACUGGGCGUAAAGCGUGCGCAGGCGGUUUGCUAAGACCGAUGUGAAAUCCCCGGGCUCAACCUGGGAACUGCAUUGGUGACUGGCAGGCUAGAGUAUGGCAGAGGGGGGUAGAAUUCCACGUGUAGCAGUGAAAUGCGUAGAGAUGUGGAGGAAUACCGAUGGCGAAGGCAGCCCCCUGGGCCAAUACUGACGCUCAUGCACGAAAGCGUGGGGAGCAAACAGGAUUAGAUACCCUGGUAGUCCACGCCCUAAACGAUGUCAACUAGUUGUUGGGGAUUCAUUUCCUUAGUAACGUAGCUAACGCGUGAAGUUGACCGCCUGGGGAGUACGGUCGCAAGAUUAAAACUCAAAGGAAUUGACGGGAUCAUAGCUGUUU